UAGGGAAUCUUCGGCAAUGGACGAAAGUCUGACCGAGCAACGCCGCGUGAGUGAAGAAGGUUUUCGGAUCGUAAAGCUCUGUUGUAAGUCAAGAACGUGUGUGAGAGUGGAAAGUUCACACAGUGACGGUAGCUUACCAGAAAGGGACGGCUAACUACGUGCCAGCAGCCGCGGUAAUACGUAGGUCCCGAGCGUUGUCCGGAUUUAUUGGGCGUAAAGGGAGCGCAGGCGGUCAGGAAAGUCUGGAGUAAAAGGCUAUGGCUCAACCAUAGUGUGCUCUGGAAACUGUCUGACUUGAGUGCAGAAGGGGAGAGUGGAAUUCCAUGUGUAGCGGUGAAAUGCGUAGAUAUAUGGAGGAACACCAGUGGCGAAAGCGGCUCUCUGGUCUGUCACUGACGCUGAGGCUCGAAAGCGUGGGUAGCGAACAGG
rnacentral:rRNA from 1 species